CCUACGGGAGGCAGCAGUGGGGAAUAUUGGGCAAUGGCCGAGAGGCUGACCCAGCAACGUCGCGUGAGGGAAGACGGCCCUACGGGUGGUAACCCUCUUUUUUCGGGGAGCAAAGCGAGUCACGUGUGACUCAUUGAGAGUACCCGAAGAAAAAGCAUCGGCUAACUCCGUGCCAGCAGCCGCGGUAGUACGGCGGAUGCGAGCGUUAUCCGGAUUUAUUGGGGUUAAAGGGUGCGCAGGGGGAGGUGCAAGUCAGCGGUCAAAUUGCGGGGCUCAACCCCGUACUGCCGUUGAAACUGCAUCCCUUGAGUGCGCGAGAAGCAUGCGGAAUGCGGGGUGUAGCGGUGAAAUGCAUAGAUAUAACGCAGAACUCCGAUGGCGAAGGCAGAAUACUGGCGCGCAACUGACGCUGAUGCACGAAAGCGUGGGUAUCGAACAGGAUUAGAUACCCUUGUAGUC
rnacentral:rRNA from 1 species